rnacentral:lncRNA from 1 species
UCCCUUCCGAGGAGGCGGUGCUGGGGCGGGCGCAGGACUGCAGGCUGGGGCUCCGCUCCCCGGCGGGAGCCCGCGCGUGGUUCCCAGCGAAGUCCCCGCGCGGCUGGGCCCAGCGUGAGUAUUCUCCGCCCGCUGUCCUCCCCCUGGAGGCGGCAGCGCCCGUUUAUUUGAGGCUUCUAAUGUGAGGAAAAACACGGAAUGACAAGUGUGGGAAAGAGCAAGCACUAAAUUACUGUCAGAAAAAUAAACGGAGUAGCACAGUGCUGCUCGGUGAUUUACGGGGGCAAUUAGUCACCACCCCACGGCGCUGCUGAGGACAGCACGGCAGCAGACAAGUCAGGCCCAUGAGGAAGAAGAGGCUUUGCACUGCUCUCCAGACAACUUUUCAAACAACAAGAGAGGAUAUUUGAGCACAUUAGGUUUUGUGUCUUCAUUCUGGAGGCAGGCAAAUGAGGCCCACUGGAAGGAUGCACGAUGACUGCAAGGAUCCUGCCCAUGACAUCAUUUCUGCUUCCCCUUGUCUUGUCGGCUGCCUCCAAUCCUGAGGUCAUCACUCAUCAAGAGGGGAUAAUCCCAGGGACAGCAGGAUCUGCUUCGUUACUUGGAUUUAGGAGCCAGAAACCCAUCAGGCAACUAAACAGUAACAAUGACCCGCCAUUAAACACACUGAGAGAAGAGCAUGAUGAAGAGUUUGUACAAGAAGAAGCCAGGAGCACUUGCUGACAAUGCUUACAGAGACGCAGGCUUCUAUGAGCUCUGCCUGUUGAACUGCAGUAAAAAUAGAUCUCCUUCCCCAGAGAGGCUUGGAUGUGGGCACAAUAUCAGUUCAGACGAUGGUCAAUGCAUGUACUUAAUAGAGUGAAAAGACUUUGGACUGUGAAGUCAGAUUACCUGGGUCUGAAUUGUUAUUCUUCUACUUCUUUGUAGUAUGCUUUCACCACAUUAAAAAUUGUCUGAGCCUCAA